rnacentral:rRNA from 1 species
AUGUCAUACCAGACCCUUGAGCUAACGUUGAUCUCGGCGAGCGAUCUCAAGAAGGUCACAUUCUUCUCCCGCAUGCACAUUUACGCCAUUGCCUCCAUCUCCGGUGGUGAUUCCCGCAUGCCUACCCAUGGCAUUGGCACCCAAGUCGACCACACCAAUGGUCCAAACCCCACAUGGAAUGCCAUGCUCCAUUUGCCGAUCCCUGCAUGUGUUGAUACGCGCGGGCUCGUCCUCCAUGUGUCGCUACGCUCGGAGGCGCUCUUCUUCGGCCACCAUGACGUUGGUGAAGUAUUUGUGCCCCUUAAUGAUCUUUUGGCAGGCACAAAUAACACUAAUGACCCAAAGACCAUGAGCUACCAAGUGCGGCGACCCAUGUCUGGCCGUGCCCACGGUGUUCUCUACUUCAGCUACAAGUUCACCGGCAUCAAAGCUGCUCCUGCAAGCGCUACAGAGAACAAACAAGGGCAGUACGUCAAAUACUCUGGGGACUCUGGGGUGGCAAUGCCCAGACCCAUGGUGCCCGUCACCGCAUACCCACAACCGCAUGCCACAUUUUCAUACCCACCAAACGCAGUGUAUCCACCACCGUACAUGUAUAAUACUGCUCCAGCACCGGCAAAGAUGUACUAUGUGUAUGCGCCAGCAACGACUAUGGCUGCACCGGCAAGGCAUGCGGGAGGGAUUGGAAUGGGCCUCGGCCUCGGGCUCCUCGGUGGCGCGGCCGGCGGGAUGAUGGCAUGA